rnacentral:tRNA from 1 species
UUGCCCUUGGCGUCGGGGUCCACGCGGGUGUGCUCCAGGCGGGCGCCGAAGCUGAGAUCGAGGCGGUCGCUGAGUUUCCAUUCCUCAAGGGCGAAC